UACAAAAAUAGAGGCCUUUCAUUUACUUCCGUCAGUAGCCACAUCCACCAACACCACCACCACCACCACGACCACCACCCUCCUCACAGUGUUACCAGAGCGGAAAAAGUUCACUCAUCCGCGCUCCAUUAGCUACAAGUGACCGAUCGGAGCUCUCCUUCUCUUGCCAGGGACUCCACGACGCUAUCUUCACCUGCUUCACGUCUCCUGCCAACCUCUACUGCUACUUGUGCCAGCCACUAGCACCAACAACACUACCACAGCCGCCGACAUGCCCGAGACGAGGCAUGACGCAGCGAAACCUAACUGAUCAGAUGCCGAACAUUCCCAGUGAUUGGACGACAACUGGAGCCGCCGUCACAUCAACGAAAGCCGACAGGUUAAAUCGGUGACGAAACGGUAAAGGUCAAAUUACACGCUUCGCUGCCGUGCCGAGUCCAUCUCCUCCUCCUUAAACAACUGAUGUGCUUCAUGCAACGCCCGCACAGUCAGCAGCGUGAGCGCGACCCACUGAGACGCCAAAUGGGAGGCCGAACGCGUGUGUGGCUGCCUGACGGAGUGAAUGGAGUGCGUGGAGCUAAAAUUCUGUGGUGAUGACCCGGGUCGACGCAAUCAGGCGGCGACGGGAAUGUGGCGGUGAACGAAUCGUGCGCAAAGUGCCUCUUAUUUGUGGUGGAGGCGCGGUGGUUGGCGGCGGCAGGUGUUGGGGGGACAGGGAGGGGUGGUGGUCGUAGUUGUGGGAGUGGGAAGGCGUAGGUGUGUUUGUGUGAUGGUGGAAAUGACGGGGGCAGGGAAGAAUGGGCGAGGGGAAGGUGUAGUACCGAAGGGAGUAGAUUUUUUAUUGUGGUAAAAGGUGCUAAGUAGGAGUGGGAUCGGUGUAGUUUUGGAAGGCAUAAUUGUGUUUAUCUCAGGUAGUAAGAGUAAUAAGGAACAGAUGUAGAGGUCGCGCGGUGGUCGUGUGUUUGCCUCAAGUAGGCAUUAGGAGUGAAUGUGUUUGUCUCAGGUAAGAGGGAGGGGUGAUUGUGUUUCUCUCAGGUAAGAAGGAGGAACGAGGAACAGGCAUGGAGGUCGUGCAGUUGUAGUAAGCAAGAGUGUCUGUCUCAGGUAAGAGGGAGGAAUGGGCAUAUUAGUCUUAGGUAAGGAGCAGGUGAGGUGCGUGGCGUCACUGGUGUCACAACUACAUAUGUAAUGUCUGUGGUAACUCUAUAUUCCUGACCCGGCGCUGCGAGGUGGAGGUACAAACAGGUGCAAGGCGUACACUCAGAGGCAGCAUUAAGGUGUUGGACUGAAUACCGAGUCCAUUACGUAACAUGAAAGUUGAACGAGGAAAAGAUAGGAAUGAUACAGAGGUACUGCCAUGCACGGGGAGCUUUAAAGGAGAGCACUGCAUAUCAAGUCCAUCAUGUUGUUAUGUAUGCUUGUGUCUUGUGUUAUUGUAUGCACCCUCUUCACUCAUCUACCUAUGUAACAGUAAUAAAUACAAGUAAGUUUAAUGAAGUGCUUUGUUUUCAUCUAUUAUUAUUACUAUUAUUACUAUUAUUAUUAUUAUUUUAAUUUAUUAUUAAGAAUUUACUUAUGUCUUAUGUUAUAGUAUGCACCCUCCUCACUCCUCUUUCCCCUUGUCCCUUCCUAGCACUACCUAUUUAUGUAACAGUUUUAAAAUAUAUGUAAGUGUAAUCACUUGGUUAUUAAAUUCCUCUGCGUUCAUCUACUUAAUAUAAAACUAAGAAUGCGUCUUUCUUUUCUACCUCUUAAAUAUCUAGGGAUUAGUAUAAUACAAUGAA